UACGGGGGGGGCAAGCGUUGUUCGGAAUUACUGGGCGUAAAGGGCUCGUAGGUGGCCAACUAAGUCAGACGUGAAAUCCCUCGGCUUAACCGGGGAACUGCGUCUGAUACUGGAUGGCUUGAGUUCGGGAGAGGGAUGCGGAAUUCCAGGUGUAGCGGUGAAAUGCGUAGAUAUCUGGAGGAACACCGGUGGCGAAGGCGGCAUCCGGGACCGACACGGACGCUGAGGAGCGAAAGCCAGGGGAGCAAACGGG
rnacentral:rRNA from 1 species